rnacentral:rRNA from 1 species
AAGAGAGAGACAUGCGCGCAUAUCAAUAAGCGGAGGAAAAGAAACUAACAAGGAUUCCCUUAGUAACGGCGAGUGAAGCGGGAUGAGCUCAAAUUUGAAAUCUUCAAGGUUCUACCUUGACGAAUUGUAGUUUAUAGAAGUGUUUUCUGUUAGUGGAGUGGCAAAAGUUCUUUGGAAUAGGACAUCAUAGAGAGUGAGAAUCCCGUAUUUGGUCAUUCCUCCUAGCGUUGUGAUACACUUUCAACGAGUCGGAUUGUUUGGGAAUGCAGUCCAAAAUGGGUGGUAAAUUUCAUCUAAAGCUAAAUAUUGGCGAGAGACCGAUAGCGAACAAGUACCGUGAGGGAAAGAUGAAAAGAACCUUGAAAAGAGAGUUAAACAGUACGUGAAAUUGUCAAAAGGGAAGCGUUUGACACCAGUGUUGUUUUUCCGAAAAUCAAUUACGAAUGUUUUGUUUUUGAGGAGUUAUGACUUCAUCGGCUUGCUUCUUUCUUUACGAAACUUUCUUAAUGCACUUUUCGGUUAACAAGUCAACAUCAAUUUCUUUUGUUGUAAAAGGGUAUGAGGAAGGUGGCUUUCUUUUCGGAGAAAGUGUUUAUAGCCUUGUAGCCUCUGCAAUCGGAGAGAUUGAGGUCUGCAGCGUAGAUCCUUCGGGGUUAGAUACAUUUGUGCUAAGUUACUAGUCUUUUCAUAGACAACUUGUUGACUAUGAUUGAGUCUUGUAGCUUACUCGCUUAUGCUAUUUUACCUACGCUUAGGAUGUUGAUCUGUAGUGCGUGCGC